rnacentral:rRNA from 1 species
UGGGGAAUUUUGCGCAAUGGGCUAACGCCUGACGCAGCAACGCCGCGUGGAGGAUGAAGGUCUUUGGAUUGUAAACUCCUGUCAGCAGGGAAAAAGGGAGGGGACCUAAUACGUCCUUGACUUGAUUGUACCUGCAGAGGAAGCCCCGGCUAACUCUGUGCCAGCAGCCGCGGUAAUACAGAGGGGGCAAGCGUUAUUCGGAAUUAUUGGGCGUAAAGGGCGCGUAGGCGGCUAUUCAAGUGGCGGGUGAAAUCCCUCGGCUUAACCGAGGAACUGCCUGCCAGACUGGAUGGCUUGAGACCGGGAGAGGUGAGUGGAAUUCCCAGUGUAGCGGUGAAAUGCGUAGAUAUUGGGAGGAACACCAGUGGCGAAGGCGGCUCACUGGACCGGUACUGACGCUGAGGCGCGAAAGCGUGGGGAGCAAACAGG